GACGAACGCUGGCGGCGCGCUUAACACAUGCAAGUCGAGCGAUGAAAUCUUAACAGAACCCUUCGGGGCGAAGAUAAGACGGAUUAGCGGCGGACGGGUGAGUAACACGUGAGUAACCUGCCUUUUACACAGGGAUAGCCUCGGGAAACCGGGAUUAAAACCUGAUGAAACUAUCAAAUCACAUGAUUAAGAAAGUUAAAACUCCGGUGGUAAAAGAUGGACUCGCGUCCCAUUAGCUAGUUGGUGGAGGUAACGGCCCACCAAGGCAACGAUGGGUAGCCGGCCUGAGAGGGUGAACGGCCACAUUGGAACUGAGAAACGGUCCAAACUCCUAUGGGAGGCAGCAGUGGGGAAUAUUGCACAAUGGGGGAAACCCUGAUGCAGCGACGCCGCGUGAGCGAAGAAGGCCUUCGGGUCGUAAAGCUCUUUUAUAUGGGAAGAUAAUGACGGUACCAUAAGAAAAAGCCCCGGCUAACUACGUGCCAUCAGCCGCGGUAAUACGUAGGGGGCUAGCGUUGUCCGGAAUCACUGGGCGUAAAGGGCUCGCAGGCGGCAAUGCAACUCAGAUGUAAAAGGCAAAGGCUCAACCUUUGUAAGCAUCUGAAACUGUAUAGCUUGAGAAGUGUAGAGGCAGUGGAAUUUUUAGUGGAGCGGUGAAAUGCGUAAUCUUAAAAGAAUA
rnacentral:rRNA from 1 species